GGAUACUAGACGUCGGAUUUCCUAAUAGAUUCGGUGUCGCAGCUAACGCAUUAAGUAUCCCGCCUGGGGAUUACGGUCGCAAGAUUAAAACUCAAAGGAAUUGACGGGGGGCCCGCACAAGCGGUGGAGCAUGUGGUUUAAUUCGAUGCUACGCGAAAAACCUUACCUGGACUUGACAUCCCGGGCUACCCUACGAAAGUAGGGGUUCCCCUUGGGGACCCGGUGACAGGUGCUGCAUGGCUGUCGUCAGCUCGUGUUGUGAGAUGUUGGGUUAAGUCCCGCAACGAGCGCAACCCUCGCCGUUAGUUACCAGCAUUAAGUUGGGCACUCUAACGGGACCGCUAGGCCAUAAGCCAGAGGAAGGUGGGGAUGACGUCAAGUCCUCAUGGCCUUUAUGUCCAGGGCUACACACGUGCUACAAUGGGAGGUACAAAGCGCUGCUAGCUCGCAAGAGUCCGCAAAUCGCAAAAACCCUCUCUCAGUUCGGAUUGGAGUCUGCAACUCGACUCCAUGAAGUUGGAAUCGCUAGUAAUCGCGGAUCAGCACGCCGCGGUGAAUACGUUCCCGGGCCUUGUACACACCGCCCGUCACACCAUGGGAGUUGGUUGUACCGGAAAACGCUGAGUUAACCUUCGGGGGGC
rnacentral:rRNA from 1 species